rnacentral:rRNA from 1 species
GACGAAGGAUGCAAGCGUUAUCCGGAUUCAUUGGGUUUAAAGGGAGCGUAGGCGGCUUGGUAAGUCAGUGGUGAAAUCUGUGGGCUUAACCCACAAACUGCCAUUGAUACUGCUGAUCUAGAGUACAGUUGCCGUUGGCGGAAUAUGACAUGUAGUGGUGAAAUACUUAGAUAUGUCAUAGAACACCGAUUGCGAAGGCAGCUAACGAAGCUGUAACUGACGCUGAGGCUCGAAAGUGCGGGGAUCAAACAGG